GCGUGGGAACGUGCCCUUGGGUAAGGAACAACAGUUGGAAACGACUGCUAAUACCUUAUGAUGUCUUUCGAGACCAAAGAUUUAUCGCCCAGGGAUCGGCCCGCGUUGGAUUAGGUAGUUGGUGGGGUAACGGCCUACCAAGCCGACGAUCCAUAGCUGGUUUGAGAGGAUGAUCAGCCACACUGGGACUGAGACACGGCCCAGACUCCUACGGGAGGCAGCAGUGGGGAAUCUUGGACAAUGGGGGCAACCCUGAUCCAGCCAUGCCGCGUGAACGAUGAAGGCCUUAGGGUUGUAAAG
rnacentral:rRNA from 1 species